GGGUUGUGAGGUUAAGCGACUAAGCGUACACGGUGGAUGCCCUGGCAGUCAGAGGCGAUGAAGGACGUGCUAAUCUGCGAAAAGCGCCGGCGAGGUGAUAUGAACCUUUGACCCGGCGAUGUCCGAAUGGGGAAACCCAGUGUGAUUCGUCACACUAUCGUUAACUGAAUACAUAGGUUAACGAGGCGAACCGGGGGAACUGAAACAUCUAAGUACCCCGAGGAAAAGAAAUCAACCGAGAUUCCCCCAGUAGCGGCGAGCGAACGGGGAGCAGCCCAGAGUCUGAAUCAGCUUGUGUGUUAGUGGAAGCGUCUGGAAAGUCGCACGGUACAGGGUGACAGUCCCGUACACGAAAAUGCACAGGUUGUGAACUCGAAGAGUAGGGCGGGACACGUGGUAUCCUGUCUGAAUAUGGGGGGACCAUCCUCCAAGGCUAAAUACUCCUGACUGACCGAUAGUGAACCAGUACCGUGAGGGAAAGGCGAAAAGAACCCCGGCGAGGGGAGUGAAAAAGAACCUGAAACCGUGUACGUACAAGCAGUGGGAGCACCUUCGUGGUGUGACUGCGUACCUUUUGUAUAAUGGGUCAGCGACUUAUAUUCUGUAGCAAGGUUAACCGUAUAGGGGAGCCGAAGGGAAACCGAGUCUUAACUGGGCGUUAAGUUGCAGGGUAUAGACCCGAAACCCGGUGAUCUAGCCAUGGGCAGGUUGAAGGUUGGGUAACACUAACUGGAGGACCGAACCGACUAAUGUUGAAAAAUUAGCGGAUGACUUGUGGCUGGGGGUGAAAGGCCAAUCAAACCGGGAGAUAGCUGGUUCUCCCCGAAAGCUAUUUAGGUAGCGCCUCGUGAACUCAUCUUCGGGGGUAGAGCACUGUUUCGGCUAGGGGGCCAUCCCGGCUUACCAACCCGAUGCAAACUACGAAUACCGAAGAAUGUUAUCACGGGAGACACACGGCGGGUGCUAACGUCCGUCGUGAAGAGGGAAACAACCCAGACCGCCAGCUAAGGUCCCAAAGUCAUGGUUAAGUGGGAAACGAUGUGGGAAGGCACAGACAGCCAGGAUGUUGGCUUAGAAGCAGCCAUCAUUUAAAGAAAGCGUAAUAGCUCACUGGUCGAGUCGGCCUGCGCGGAAGAUGUAACGGGGCUAAACCAUGCACCGAAGCUGCGGCAGCGACGCUUAUGCGUUGUUGGGUAGGGGAGCGUUCUGUAAGCCGUUGAAGGUGUGCUGUGAGGCAUGCUGGAGGUAUCAGAAGUGCGAAUGCUGACAUAAGUAACGAUAAAGCGGGUGAAAAGCCCGCUCGCCGGAAGACCAAGGGUUCCUGUCCAACGUUAAUCGGGGCAGGGUGAGUCGACCCCUAAGGCGAGGCCGAAAGGCGUAGUCGAUGGGAAACAGGUUAAUAUUCCUGUACUUGGUGUUACUGCGAAGGGGGGACGGAGAAGGCUAUGUUAGCCGGGCGACGGUUGUCCCGGUUUAAGCAUGUAGGCGGAGGUUCCAGGUAAAUCCGGUACCUUUUAACGCUGAGGUGUGAUGACGAGGCACUACGGUGCUGAAGUAACAAAUGCCCUGCUUCCAGGAAAAGCCUCUAAGCAUCAGGUAACAUCAAAUCGUACCCCAAACCGACACAGGUGGUCAGGUAGAGAAUACCAAGGCGCUUGAGAGAACUCGGGUGAAGGAACUAGGCAAAAUGGUGCCGUAACUUCGGGAGAAGGCACGCUGAUAUGUAGGUGAAGCCCCUGCGGGUGGAGCUGAAAUCAGUCGAAGAUACCAGCUGGCUGCAACUGUUUAUUAAAAACACAGCACUGUGCAAACACGAAAGUGGACGUAUACGGUGUGACGCCUGCCCGGUGCCGGAAGGUUAAUUGAUGGGGUUAGCGGUAACGCGAAGCUCUUGAUCGAAGCCCCGGUAAACGGCGGCCGUAACUAUAACGGUCCUAAGGUAGCGAAAUUCCUUGUCGGGUAAGUUCCGACCUGCACGAAUGGCGUAAUGAUGGCCAGGCUGUCUCCACCCGAGACUCAGUGAAAUUGAACUCGCUGUGAAGAUGCAGUGUACCCGCGGCAAGACGGAAAGACCCCGUGAACCUUUACUAUAGCUUGACACUGAACACUGGUCCUUGAUGUGUAGGAUAGGUGGGAGGCUUUGAAGUGUGGACGCCAGUCUGCAUGGAGCCGUCCUUGAAAUACCACCCUUUAAUGGCUGGUGUUCUAACGUAGACCCGUGAUCCGGGUUGCGGACAGUGUCUGGUGGGUAGUUUGACUGGGGCGGUCUCCUCCCAAAGAGUAACGGAGGAGCACGAAGGUUAGCUAAUCCUGGUCGGACAUCAGGAGGUUAGUGCAAUGGCAUAAGCUAGCUUGACUGCGAGAGUGACGGCUCGAGCAGGUGCGAAAGCAGGUCAUAGUGAUCCGGUGGUUCUGAAUGGAAGGGCCAUCGCUCAACGGAUAAAAGGUACUCCGGGGAUAACAGGCUGAUACCGCCCAAGAGUUCAUAUCGACGGCGGUGUUUGGCACCUCGAUGUCGGCUCAUCACAUCCUGGGGCUGAAGUAGGUCCCAAGGGUAUGGCUGUUCGCCAUUUAAAGUGGUACGCGAGCUGGGUUUAGAACGUCGUGAGACAGUUCGGUCCCUAUCUGCCGUGGGCGCUGGAGAAUUGAGGGGGGCUGCUCCUAGUACGAGAGGACCGGAGUGGACGCAUCACUGGUGUUCGGGUUGUCAUGCCAAUGGCACUGCCCGGUAGCUAAAUGCGGAAAAGAUAAGUGCUGAAAGCAUCUAAGCACGAAACUUGCCCCGAGAUGAGUUCUCCCUGAGACUUUAAGUCUCCUGAAGGAACGUUGAAGACGACGACGUUGAUAGGUCGGGUGUGUAAGCGCAGCGAUGCGUUGAGCUAACCGAUACUAAUGAACCGUGAGGCUUAACCUUACAACGCCGAAG
rnacentral:rRNA from 1 species